rnacentral:rRNA from 1 species
GACGAACGCUGGCGGCGUGCUUAACACAUGCAAGUCGAACGGAAAGGCCCUGCUUUUGUGGGGUGCUCGAGUGGCGAACGGGUGAGUAACACGUGAGUAACCUGCCCUUUACUUUGGUAUAACUUCAGGAAACUGGGGCUAAUACCGUAUAGGAGCUCCUGCUGCAUGGUGGGGGUUGGAAAGUUUCGGCGGGUGGGGAUGGAUGCGCGGCUUAUCAGCUUGUUGGUGGGGUAGUGGCUUACCAAGGCUUUGACGGGUAGCCGGCCUGAGAGGGUGACCGGCGACAAGGGGACUGAGAGACGGACCAGACUCCUACGGGAGGCAGCAGUGGGGAAUAUUGCACAAUGGGCGGAAGCCUGAUGCAGAAACGCCGCGUGCGGGAUGACGGCCUUCGGGUUGUAAACAGCUUUCGCCUGUGACGAAGCGUGAGUGACGGUAAUGGGUAAAGAAGCACCGGCUAACUACGUG